GCGUCUGUAGUCUAAUUGGAUAAAAUCAUGCCCUCCGACGGCAUUGUUGUGAGUUCGAGCCUCGCCAGGCGCACCA
rnacentral:tRNA from 1 species